CCUGGCGAUCGUAGCGGAGCGGAACUACCUGACCCCAUCCCGAACUCAGAAGUAAAACGCUCCAGCGCCGAAGAUACUUGUCCCGCAAGGGGCUGGGAAAAUAGGUCGUUGCCAGGA
rnacentral:rRNA from 1 species